GACGAACGCUGGCGGCGUGCCUAAUACAUGCAAGUCGAGCGGACUUAAAAAGCUUGCUUUUUAAGUUAGCGGCGGACGGGUGAGUAACACGUGGGCAACCUGCCUGUAAGACUGGGAUAACUUCGGGAAACCGGAGCUAAUACCGGAUAAUCCUUUUCUACUCAUGUAGAAAAGCUGAAAGACGGUUUACGCUGUCACUUACAGAUGGGCCCGCGGCGCAUUAGCUAGUUGGUGAGGUAACGGCUCACCAAGGCGACGAUGCGUAGCCGACCUGAGAGGGUGAUCGGCCACACGGGGACUGAGACACGGCCCAGACUCCUACGGGAGGCAGCAGUAGGGAAUCUUCCGCAAUGGACGAAAGUCUGACGGAGCAACGCCGCGUGAGUGAUGAAGGUUUUCGGAUCGUAAAACUCUGUUGUUAGGGAAGAACAAGUACGAGAGUAACUGCUCGUACCUUGACGGUACCUAACCAGAAAGCCACGGCUAACUACGUG
rnacentral:rRNA from 1 species